AGCUAGUUGGUGAGGUAACGGCCCACCAAGGCAACGAUCGGUAGCCGGACUGAGAGGUUGAACGGCCACAUUGGGACUGAGACACGGCCCAGACUCCUACGGGAGGCAGCAGUGGGGAAUAUUGCACAAUGGGGGAAACCCUGAUGCAGCGACGCCGCGUGGAGGAAGAAGGUCUUCGGAUUGUAAACUCCUGUUGUUGAGGAAGAUAAUGACGGUACUCAACAAGGAAGUGACGGCUAACUACGUGCCAGCAGCCGCGGUAAAACGUAGGUCACAAGCGUUGUCCGGAAUUACUGGGUGUAAAGGGAGCGCAGGCGGGAAGACAAGUUGGAAGUGAAAUCCAUGGGCUCAACCCAUGAACUGCUUUCAAAACUGUUUUUCUUGAGUAGUGCAGAGGUAGGCGGAAUUCCCGGUGUAGCGGUGGAAUGCGUAGAUAUCGGGAGGAACACCAGUGGCGAAGGCGGCCUACUGGGCACCAACUGACGCUGAGGCUCGAAAGUGUGGGUAGCAAACAGGAUUAGAUACCCUGGUAGUCCACACCGUAAACGAUGAUUACUAGGUGUUGGAGGAUUGACCCCUUCAGUGCCGCAGUUAACACAAUAAGUAAUCCACCUGGGGAGUACGACCGCAAGGUUGAAACUCAAAGGAAUUGACGGGGGCCCGCACAAGCAGUGGAGUAUGUGGUUUAAUUCGACGCAACGCGAAGAACCUUACCAAGUCUUGACAUCCUGCGACGAUGCUGGAAACAGUAUUUUCCUUCGGGACGCAGAGACAGGUGGUGCAUGGUUGUCGUCAGCUCGUGUCGUGAGAUGUUGGGUUAAGUCCCGCAACGAGCGCAACCCUUAUGGUCAGUUACUACGCAAGAGGACUCUGGCCAGACUGCCGUUGACAAAACGGAGGAAGGUGGGGAUGACGUCAAAUCAUCAUGCCCUUUAUGACUUGGGCUACACACGUACUACAAUGGCGUUAAACAAAGAGAAGCAAGACCGCGAGGUGGGGCAAAACUCAGAAACAACGUCCCAGUUCGGACUGCAGGCUGCAACUCGCCUGCACGAAGUCGGAAUUGCUAGUAAUCGUGGAUCAGCAUGCCACGGUGAAUACGUUCCCGGGCCUUGUACACACCGCCCGUCACACCAUGAGAGCCGGGGGGACCCGAAGUCGGUAGUCUAACCGCAAGGAGGACGCCGCCGAAGGUAAAACUGGUGAUUGGGGUGAAGUCGGAACAAGGUAGCCGUAGGAGAACCUGCGGCUG
rnacentral:rRNA from 1 species